CGGAGGUGCAAGCGUUAAUCGGAAUUACUGGGCGUAAAGCGUACGUAGGUGGUUUGUUAAGCCAGCUGUGAAAUCCCCGGGCUCAACCUGGGCACUGCAGUUGGAACUGGCAAGCUAGAGUAGGGUAGAGGGGUGUGGAAUUCCAGGUGUAGCGGUGAAAUGCGUAGAUAUCUGGAGGAACAUCAGUGGCGAAGGCGACACCCUGGACUCAUACUGACACUGAGGUACGAAAGCGUGGGGAGCAAACAGGAUU
rnacentral:rRNA from 1 species